UUCCACACAGGAAGGUCACACCAUCUCUCACUGUUACAAGGGUGAAGAGCUAAUAGAUAUCAAAGUUGAUCUUAAGGCAGAAGAGAGGUAUUUGAGGGAUGAUCAGCAGUCUGAAGAGGUGGAUGGAAUAAUAAGGACAUCAAAGAUCAGUACAGUAGAUGGACGGGAGAUGAGGAAAACCUCAGAGGAU